rnacentral:rRNA from 1 species
ACAGGGAUGCCCUAGUAACGGCGAGUGAAGCGGCAACAGCUCAAAUUUGAAAUCUGGCGUCUUUGGCGUCCGAGUUGUAAUUUGCAGAGGGCGCUUUGGCAUUGGCAGCGGUCCAAGUUCCUUGGAACAGGACGUCACAGAGGGUGAGAAUCCCGUACGUGGUCGCUAGCCUUUACCGUGUAAAGCCCCUUCGACGAGUCGAGUUGUUUGGGAAUGCAGCUCUAAAUGGGAGGUAAAUUUCUUCUAAAGCUAAAUACUGGCCAGAGACCGAUAGCGCACAAGUAGAGUGAUCGAAAGAUGAAAAGCACUUUGGAAAGAGAGUUAAAAAGCACGUGAAAUUGUUGAAAGGGAAGCGCUUGCAGCCAGACUUGCCUGUAGUUGCUCAUCCGGGUUUUUACCCGGUGCACUCUUCUAUAGGCAGGCCAGCAUCAGUUUGGGCGGUUGGAUAAAGGUCUCUGUCAUGUACCUCUCUUCGGGGAGAACUUAUAGGGGAGACGACAUGCAACCAGCCUGGACUGAGGUCCGCGCAUCUGCUAGGAUGCUGGCGUAAUGGCUGUAAGCGGCCCGUCUUGAAACACGGACCAAGGAGUCUAACAUCUAUGCGAGUGUUUGGGUGUCAAGCCCGAGCGCGUAAUGAAAGUGAACGGAGGUGGGAACCCCUCGGGGUGCACCAUCGACCGAUCCUGAUGUCUUCGGAUGGAUUUGAGUAAGAGCAUAGCUGUUGGGACCCGAAAGAUGGUGAACUAUGCUUGAAUAGGGUGAAGCCAGAGGAAACUCUGGUGGAGGCUCGCAGCGGUUCUGACGUGCAAAUCGAUCGUCAAAUUUGGGCAUAGGGGCGAAAGACUAAUCGA